rnacentral:rRNA from 1 species
CCGCGGGAUUAGAGUUUGAUCCUGGCUCAGGAUGAACGCUAGCGGCAGGCCUAAUACAUGCAAGUCGAACGAUACCAGGGAGCUUGCUCUCUGGGAAAGUGGCGCACGGGUGCGUAACGCGUAUGCAACCUACCUUAAUCAGGGGGAUAGCCUCUCGAAAGAGAGAUUAACACCGCAUAAAAUCAAAGAACGGCAUCGUUUAAUGAUCAAAUAUUUAUAGGAUUAAGAUGGGCAUGCGUGACAUUAGCUAGUUGGUGAGGUAACGGCUCACCAAGGCGACGAUGUCUAGGGGAUCUGAGAGGAUGACCCCCCACACUGGUACUGAGACACGGACCAGACUCCUACGGGAGGCAGCAGUAAGGAAUAUUGGUCAAUGGAGGCAACUCUGAACCAGCCAUGCCGCGUGCAGGAAGACGGCCCUAUGGGUUGUAAACUGCUUUUAUUCGGGAAUAAACCUCUUUACGUGUAAAGAGUUGAAUGUACCGAAAGAAUAAGGAUCGGCUAACUCCGUGCCAGCAGCCGCGGUAAUACGGAGGAUCCAAGCGUUAUCCGGAUUUAUUGGGUUUAAAGGGUGCGUAGGCGGCUUAUUAAGUCAGGGGUGAAAGACGGUGGCUCAACCAUCGCAGUGCCCUUGAUACUGAUGAGCUUGAAUACACUUGAGGUAGGCGGAAUGUGACAAGUAGCGGUGAAAUGCAUAGAUAUGUCACAGAACACCAAUUGCGAAGGCAGCUUACUAAGGUGCAAUUGACGCUGAGGCACGAAAGCGUGGGGAUCAAACAGGAUUAGAUACCCUGGUAGUCCACGCCCUAAACGAUGAAUACUCGAUGUUAGCGAUAUACAGUUAGCGUCUAAGCGAAAGCGUUAAGUAUUCCACCUGGGGAGUACGCCCGCA